UACGAAGGGGGCUAGCGUUGCUCGGAAUCACUGGGCGUAAAGGGUGCGUAGGCGGGUCUUUAAGUCAGGGGUGAAAUCCUGGAGCUCAACUCCAGAACUGCCUUUGAUACUGAGGAUCUUGAGUUCGGGAGAGGUGAGUGGAACUGCGAGUGUAGAGGUGAAAUUCGUAGAUAUUCGCAAGAACACCAGUGGCGAAGGCGGCUCACUGGCCCGAUACUGACGCUGAGGCACGAAAGCGUG
rnacentral:rRNA from 1 species